rnacentral:lncRNA from 1 species
UUUUUUUUUUUUUACGACUUUUAAAAUUCUCCAUCUUCAAAGCUUGCAACAGUUUUUUUGAAAUCUUUAAAAAACGUUUGAAUUGAGGUGUCAUUCAUUUACAAUGUUGCGCUAGUUUCAGAUUCUUUUCCAUUAUAGGUUAUUACAAGAUGCAGUGCAGCAUCCUGUGCUAUAAGUAGGUCCUUGCUGCUUACCUCCUUUAUAUACAGUAGUAUGUAUCCAUUGGUCCCAAACUCCCAAUGUACCUGCCUAUCAUCCCCCUCCUCCCCUCUUCCCUGCUAUCUGCUUCAUCCUCUGAUGAGUCAAAUUUAAUUCCAGCCAAUGUUUUCUGCAUGCUCCUUCCGAAGUUCUCAGGAAGCUGUACAGAAGCAUUUUAUCGCCUCCGUUGGACCAAAUCCUUCGCAGGCGAGCGCAGACCUGGGUCUUCCCGCCUUUCGCAAACAGGGCAGUGUUCCUGGGAACAUGCUCGUUUCCCCUCACGUGUCCAAGUGCCCCGUUGGCAGUGCUCUUCUGCCUCGAAACGCCAUCGCAGUGAGGUCCAACUUGGAGGCCACCAGAAGUCAGAGAGCUCCCUAAAGAGGUCGGAUGCAUCACACUUCUCAAAACUAAAGCUAUUUCAGAUCUUCAGACUUCCUUCAGGAAAAAAAAUCCACUGGAAUGAUUGUGAGAGUGGUGGGGUGGGUUUGACUUGUUUCGUUCAUGCUACAUCACCAGCAUCUAGACAGUGCUGGGAAAAUUUAACAAUUCAAUAAAAAAUCUGUUUAAUAAACUAUUGUUUUUAAAUAACUUUUAUUGGAUAAAUAUACAUGUCUCACAAAUCUAAAUAUGUUUACAUAUGUUUUUAAAUGUGCACGAAAGCAUAUGACACGGAAGACCACAUGGACAACUGUUAACAAUCAUUAGCUUAACAGGCUUAGAGGAAACAAGCUUAGUGGGUCCAUAUUUUUUCCUUCUCUACAAGGAGAAAGAGAAGAUCAAUUUUGAGGACCUUAACUAAAAAUUCAAAAUUCCUCCAGGGCCAGAACUAGAUGACUCGAUCUAUUUCUUCCUUUUUUUUUUUUUUUUUUUUUUUUUUUUUUUUUUNNNNNNNUUUUUUGUCUUUUUAGGGCUGCACCCAUGGCAUAUGGAGGUUCCCAGAAAUGGCAAAAAGACAAAAAAAAAAAAAAGAAAGAAAGAAAGAAGUGUUUCUGGGAAAGGUGAGAUUUUUGCAGUAAUGGUCAGUUCAGCUUGUGUGUGCUCUCAAUCCUUUCCUGGUAAAAGAAAGAACCCGAGUAGGUGCCCUCAGUGAGAGGCCUCAGGGUUAGAAAGCAGUUAACGCCCCCACGAGCAGAGGCAGUGUCCUUUCGGUAAUGCACACGAAUAAGACAGAGCAGACAGCAGUAAGCGUUUACAGCCAAAGAGUAGUGGUCACUCUGACAAAUAACUCAGGGAGCAGACAGCGCAAGCAGAACGGUCUACACCCGGAGUCCCAGGAUGAGCAGCCAAACUCAGUUCAUCAGCACCAAAGUGAUCCCCUAAGCCUGGUCUCCCGAGCUGCUGCCUCUCUUGGGUGAAGACGGCGCCUCCGAUGACAGAUAAGGGGAGUUAGACAAGCCGUACCCCUAAAGCCUCGAUAAUCUAGGAACUGCGACAGUCCAUUGGCGAGCAUCCCCUGCGAGCAACCACUGCGGCAUCAGUAAGAUGGGGGAGCUUACCGAGCAGGGCUGCCUACAAAAUUUAAAGAGCCUGGUGCAAAACGAAAACGCAGAGCCUUCUGUUCAAAAUUAUUACACGUUUCCGAUGGGGAGAGGAGAGCAUUAAACCAAGUGUGGCCCCUUGUGAGCCCGGAGUCCUGUGUGACCAAGUCUCAUGCCUAUAAUGUUGACUCUCCCAUGAACGAUGGCUCCCUCGCCAGACAGGUGAUAAAUUCUAGUUUAAUUAUAGUUUAAGGAGGAGGUGGGUGAGGGAAAGAGGAAGAUGGGGGCGUUCUAGUCAGACUAUUGUAAAUAACAGAAUUCCUCCGAUGACGCAUGUGCUGCAUGAAA